rnacentral:rRNA from 8 species
GGUUUACCUGUGUGACUGCGUACCUUUUGUAUAAUGGGUCAGCGACUUAUAUUCUGUAGCAAGGUUAACCGAAUAGGGGAGCCGGAGGGAAACCGAGUCUUAAUUGGGCGUUAAGUUGCAGGGUAUAGACCCGAAACCCGGUGAUCUAGCCAUGGGCAGGUUGAAGGUUGGGUAACACUAACUGGAGGACCGAACCGACUAAUGUUGAAAAAUUAGCGGAUGACCUGUGGCUGGGGGUGAAAGGCCAAUCAAACCGGGAGAUAGCUGGUUCUCCCCGAAAGCUAUUUAGGUAGCGCCUCGUGAAUUCAUCUCCGGGGGUAGAGCACUGUUUCGGCUAGGGGGCCAUCCCGGCUUACCAACCCGAUGCAAACUGCGAAUACCGGAGAAUGUUAUCACGGGAGACACACGGCGGGUGCUAACGUCCGUCGUGAAGAGGGAAACAACCCAGACCGCCAGCUAAGGUCCCAAAGUCAUGGUUAAGUGGGAAACGAUGUGGGAAGGCCCAGACAGCCAGGAUGUUGGCUUAGAAGCAGCCAUCAUUUAAAGAAAGCGUAAUAGCUCACUGGUCGAGUCGGCCUGCGCGGAAGAUGUAACGGGGCUAAACCAUG